rnacentral:lncRNA from 1 species
GACGCUGUGACCCUCUUUUGUGACUUAUCUCCUUGUUCACAAACAGAAAAGCUGUUCUUUAUGACCAUGCCAGGCAGAAAUAAGGCAGAGGCACAAGACAGAAGCCCCAGACGCUAUUCGUGCACACUCCAGUUCAUCCAUGGCACAGUCGGGCCCUUCACUCUGGCUUCCCUCACCCCGCCCCGCGCCCAGGGAGCCCAGAAACCUGGACUCAGCCAGUGUCAAAUGCAUCCUCCUCCUGGUCCAGAUCCGCCCACAUGACUUCCUUCCCUCUAAUGCAGGGCAAGGGAGGGAGUUGAGCACACAUUCAGGCCACAGGGUAAACCGAAGGGAGAAUCUAGCUGAUGAGGAUAAACGCCAGUCUUCUCUGGGGUCCAAACACCAAACAUACAAGUUCACAAUGGGUGAUUUAACUCCAUAGCACAGCAGCAAGCAUCAAAAUAAUUUAGAGGAUUUAGUUGAUGACAAGCACACUUUUGUUGAUGGCCAAAGACUGAAUAUUCAUCCCUCAAAGCUGAAUGGUGCGGCAAUCGAAUACUCUUAAGUGGCCACCUCACACUCAGGCAUAAUGUUCAAAGUGUGGCACCGUCCUCAAGAAAGCGUCACUCUGAAGAAGGAGAAACUGAAGCAGAGUGUUUACAGCUAGAGAGCUGCAGAGCCAGGAUUUGCACCGGUAGCUGCACCAUAGUCUGGGGGCUCGGUCUCUUUGCCAGCGUGUUCAGGGUGGACAUCUUCCAUGUGAAUUGGUUUUGGGUGGCACACAGACAGUAAAAAUAAAAAAGAUUGCAAAG